rnacentral:rRNA from 1 species
GUACACGCUGUGACUAGCAUAUCAAUAAGCGGAGGAAAAGAAACUAACAAGGAUUCCCCUAGUAACGGCGAGUGAAGCGGGAAGAGUUCAAAUUUGAAAUCUUAAAGGGUUUCCCUUUACGAAUUGUAGUUUAAAGAAGUGUUUUCUGUUGAGGUUUUGGUAAAAGUUCUUUGGAAUAGGACAUCAUAGAGGGUGAGAAUCCCGUAUUUGACCUUUACUUUCAACUUUGUGAUACACUUUCAAAGGGUCGGAUUGUUUGGGAAUGCAGUCCAAAAUGGGUGGUAAAUUUCAUCUAAAGCUAAAUAUUGGCGAGAGACCGAUAGCGAACAAGUACCGUGAGGGAAAGAUGAAAAGAACUUUGAAAAGAGAGUUAAACAGUACGUGAAAUUGUCAAAAGGGAAGCGUUUGACACCAGUGUUGUUUUUCUGAAAAUCAAUUAAAGAACUGUUUAUGCUAAGUUGUUUAGACUUUAUCAGCUAACUGUUUAGUUUUGAGCUUUUCUUUAAUGCACUUUUCAGUUAACAAGUCAACAUCAAUUUCUUUUGCUGUAAAAAAGCUUGGGGAAGGUGGCUUGAGAUUCGUCUUAAGUGUUUAUAGCCUCUUGCCUAUGCAGUCGGAGAGAUUGAGGUCUGCAGCGUAGAUCCUUCGGGGCUAAAUGCAUUUGUGCUAAGUUAUAGCAUUUUAUAGACAACUUGUUGACUAUGAUUUGUCUUGUAGCUUACUCGCUUAUGUUAUUUUACCUACGCUUAGGAUGUUGAGUCGUAGAGCACGCAG